rnacentral:lncRNA from 10 species
CAGCGAGGUAGGUCGGGAAGGCAGCCGGCGGCCCCAGAUCUAGAACCGCUGCAGUGCCGAGCUUCCAGGGACGUGAAGCCGGAAAGCCAGGCGCCCUUCUUGACUGCGCCUAGGUGGAACUGGCCCUCCAGCAGCUUGAACGUAGCCUCUUUUCACACUGGUAGUUCCUGAACCUCUUGUGAAAUGAAAGAUGUUCCUCAUUCCAAGCUGAGGACGGAGAAAAGCCGUAAAGCUGACACUGGUCUUAAGACCCUCAUUUGAGAGAUGCCUUCCCUGUACCUGGAGGAAAGAAACAUCUUUAUCUCUGAAGACACAGGGCCACAGAGAAGAGUCUGAACAAACAGGCUUUACCAAUUUCCCCCAGUUGUUACCGUUAGAUCAGACCUUUGUCCAGUCAUAUCCUUCCACAAGUUGUCCACUCAUCAACCCUAAGCAUAAAAAUGCACAAGUUUCCUUGUUUGUUUGGGUCUUCAUUUCCAAGGGCUCCUAUGUCAUGUUAAACUUUUAAAUAAAUUUGCAUGCUUUUCUCUUGUGAAUCUGGUUUUUGUUAUAAGGGCCUUAGCCAUGAACCUAAGAUGGUAAGGGUUUCUUUUCCCCUACAUGCAAUAUAAGUGGAUUUAAAUUUUAUUAAAAUAAAUAGAAAAAUACCUCCCCAGUGUAGACAUGUGUGUAUGUGUGAGGCGCCCAGGCAACUUGUGGUUCCACUUGGAGACGAGCCUCUCCUCUGUACGUCCUUCCCAAAAUAUCACCUUUGCAGUUAAGAUCAAACUUUGAUUUAUGUGGGACUAACUAACAACUGCAGUCGACAAUAGGAAAGCAGCCAGAAUGAUUCCCUGCCGACGUGGUGGAAUUAUUAGACUCCCAUUCUCACAGCAUGGUAAUUAAAGUGUUAAAAUGGAGAGGCACAGGACCAAGGAAGAACGCAUCCAGAAAUUACCCGCACCCAGUCAUUUUCAGGGCACUCAUCUAAUCCUGUCAAUGGAACUUUUUGAGAUGGCUCUAAAUUUCAGUGUGGUUUAGAAGUCCUUCAAGUAGUACGGAAUUUUUUCACUGUCUCUGUCAUCAGUGAGAUUUCUGUCAGGCAUCUCAGCUUGUAGGCCAUGUAGUCUGUCACAACUCCUCCCCCUUGUGGCUGUAGGGUGAAAGCAGCCGCAGACAAUUCCUAGAAGGAGUAGGCUGUUUAUGGACACUGAAAUUUGAAUUUCAUGUAUUUUUAAUGUGUCAUGAGAUAUUCUCUCGAUUUUUUUCCAACAAUUUAAAACUGUAAAAACUAUCCUUAGCCUGCAGGCUAUACAAAAACAGCUGUUUGCCAAUCCUUGCACUAGCUUUGUGAGGGAGGCACAGCUCGCACCCAGCACAGGACCUAGCAAAAUCGAAGAUGCUCAGUAAAUGUUUAUUGAAUGAAUUCAGUGGACAGAUGACCAGAAAAACCCCAUGAUGCCUCAGAAAUACACUCCAAAGGAACUUUUACAAUGUAGUUUUCACAUAGUUAUUUCAUUUAUAUUUGUUUUGUAACAUUUGUACUGCUUUUCGCUUAUUUACUUUUGAGACAAGGUCUCUGUCUCCCAGGCUGGAGUGCAGUGGUGCGAUCUCAGCUCACUGCAACCUCUGCUUCCCAGGUUGAAGUGAUUCUCCUGCCUCAGCCUCCUGAGUAGCUGGGAUUACAGGCAUGAGCCACCAUGCCUGGCCGGGAAUUCAUCUUAUUUUAUAAAACUGCCAAAGUUAUCAAAAAUAAACUAAAACCAGGCCGGGCACGGUGGCUCACACCUGUAAUCCCAGCACUUUGGGAGGCUGAGGCAGGCGGAUCGCUUGAGCUCAGGAGUCGGAGAUGAGCCUGGCCAACAUGGUGAAACCCUGUCUCAACUAAAAAUACAAAAAGCAGCCGGGCAUGGUGGCGCACGCCU